AAGGAUGGUUUUGUUCUCAAUUGAAACU
rnacentral:piRNA from 1 species